UCAGUUCCUAGAGCAAGUAUCGAAUCUGGACUACAGCAGUGAAAGCACUAAGUUCUAACCACUAGGCCACCAGAGAACUUCCCAAAUACUGAAUUCUUACGUAUACUGGAGGCAGAACAUAUGUGAGUGUCUCAGCUCAACAACACAAGAUGAAGAACCUUCCUGUUAUUGUAAAACAGCUUUAAGAAGUACUUCUACAGCAAUAGAACUGGAAUCCAGAGCAACUAGGUGCAGUAAAAUGCAUCUACUGCAGAAGACCUCAAUAAUGCAUAAGAACAUCUGGAAGUACGGUAAUUUCAGCUAUCAGAGAUAAGAAUUGACACAGA